rnacentral:rRNA from 1 species
UACCCGCUGAACUUAAGCAUAUCAAUAAGCGGAGGAAAAGAAACCAACAGGGAUUGCCUUAGUAACGGCGAGUGAAGCGGCAAAAGCUCAGAUUUGAAAUCUGGUGUUAUUUCAACACCCGAAUUGUAAUCUGUAGAGGAGUUUUCGGAGUAUGACUUUGGUUAAAGUUCCUUGGAAAAGGGCAUCAUAGAGGGUGAGAAUCCUGUUUAUGACCAUAGUACUUCUCUAUAUGAAUCUCCUUCAAUGAGUCGAGUUGUUUGGGAAUGCAGCUCUAAAUGGGUGGUAAAUUCCAUCUAAAGCUAAAUAUUGGCAAGAGACCGAUAGCGCACAAGUAGAGUGAUCGAAAGAUGAAAAGAACUCUGAACAGAGAGUUAAAGAGUACGUGAAAUUGUUGAAAGGGAAGCACUUGUGACCAGACAAAUUUGCAAUUAAUCAGCCAUCAAUUUUGGUGGUGCACUUGAUUGUAAGUGGGUCAGCAUCAGUUAUAGUAGUGGGACAAAGACCUAAAGAAUGUGGCUCCUUUUUUUGAGGAGUGUUAUAGCUUUUGGUUUAAUACUGCUUGCUAUGACUGAGGAUAGCACUUCGUGUAAGGAUGCUGACAUAAUGGUCAUAAGUGACCCGUCUUGAAACACGGACCA